CUAGAGUCUUGUAGAGGGGGGUAGAAUUCCAGAUGUAGCGGUGAAAAUGCGUAGAGAUCUGGAGGAAUUACCGGUGGCGAAGGCGGCCCCCUGGACAAAGACUGACGCUCAGGUGCGAAAGCGUGGGGGAGCAAACAGGAUUAGAUACCCUGGGUAGUCCACGCCGUAAAACGAUGUCGACUUGGAGGUUGUGCCCUUGAGGCGUGGCUUCCGGAGCUAACGCGUUAAGUCGACCGCCUGGGGAGUACGGCCGCAAGGUUAAAACUCAAAUGAAUUGACGGGGGCCCGCACAAGCGGUGGAGCAUGUGGUUUAAUUCGAUGCAACGCGAAGAACCUUACCUACUCUUGACAUCCAGAGAACUUAGCAGAGAUGCUUUGGUGCCUUCGGGAACUCUGAGACAGGUGCUGCAUGGCUGUCGUCAGCUCGUGUUGUGAAAUGUUGGGUUAAGUCCCGCAACGAGCGCAACCCUUAUCCUUUGUUGCCAGCGAUUCGGCCGGGAACUCAAAGGAGACUGCCAGUGAUAAACUGGAGGAAGGUGGGGAUGACGUCAAGUCAUCAUGGCCCUUACGAGUAGGGCUACACACGUGCUACAAUGGCAUAUACAAAGAGAAGCGACCUCGCGAGAGCAAGCGGACCUCAUAAAGUAUGUCGUAGUCCGGAUUGGAGUCUGCAACUCGACUCCAUGAAGUCGGAAUCGCUAGUAAUCGUAGAUCAGAAUGCCACGGUGAAUACGUUCCCGGGCCUUGUACACACCGCCCGUCACACCAUGGGAGUGGGUUGCAAAAGAAGUAGGUAGCUUAACCUUC
rnacentral:rRNA from 1 species